rnacentral:piRNA from 1 species
UGGCUUUUAUCAUGAAGGGCUGUUGAAC